GCCUGCAGCCUAUGGACGGCUCUACUGUUGAUCAACACCUAAAGCCACCUGUUAAAGAGUGCCUUUUGCCAAGGAAGUCGAAUAAUUGAGUUUUAUGAGAGCGAUAUCUCAGCUCGUGGAGUCAUGCCACCUUUGAAAUUCGGUACCCGUAUAAGGAAAAGGGUCGAAACCAUUCAUCUAAAAUUUCAAGUCGAUCCGUAUCUCUGCUGCUGCUUUAAGGAGGCGUGUAACAGCCUGCAGCCUAUGGACGGUCUC